UGGGAGUUGUUAGUACUGCUUAUUGCCAGGACAGAAACAGCUUUGGGGCCCAGGCACUUCCUGGGAAGGCGGUCUUGUUGGCGCUCACCUCUGGCCUUUUCUGCCCACCUAGAGCUGGUGGGCCACCCUCCCUCCUACUCUCUGAGGCUGAGAGGAAGCUGUCAGGGAGGCAAGGUGCACAUAGAUGGAUGCAGCCACGUCCCUGGCUCUGCAGGGACUAUAGACCUCAACGCCACCCUCCUCCUACCAGGCCAAGCAACCAGAGUUGGGAAUGGAUGGCUCCUUCCCCUGUCCUGCAACAGGGAAAGGCUCUUUGGUUUUUUUCCCCAGUGGCAAGUGUGAGUGGGCCAAGUUCUCUCCUCUUAACCUUCUGUAGCAGGCUGUUGAUAGGGACAGAAAUGCUAGCCCAUCCCACAGGCAGCAGACCAAGGGAUAAGCUGUUUGAAUCUGACUGCACUCUCUCUUCUUCUCCUGUGGCAGAGAAGAGGCAGGACAAUGGCCGGGUGUAUUACGUGAACCACAACACACGCACUACCCAAUGGGAGGACCCGCGGACGCAGGGAAUGAUACAGGAGCCAGCCCUGCCCCCAGGGUGGGAGAUGAAGUACACCAGCGAGGGCGUGCGGUACUUUGUGGAUCACAACACCCGCACUACCACCUUUAAGGAUCCUCGCCCAGGGUUCGAGUCAGG
rnacentral:lncRNA from 1 species